GGUUUUAUAUUUUAAAAAAAAUUCUAAAUUGCAAAUUUAGAGAUAGAAUCACAAAUUCUUAAAACUU
rnacentral:tRNA from 1 species